GCCCAGCAUGGUGGUGCAUGCCAGCAGUCCUAGCUGCUUGGGAGGCUGAGGUGUGAGGACCACUUGAACAUCUGGGCUGGAGUGCCCUAUGCCAAUUGGUUGUCUGCACUAAGUUUGGCAUCAAUUAGUGACUCCCUGGGAGAAGGGAGCCACUAGGUUGCUUAAGGAGGGGUGAACGCAGAUCAGAAACAGAGCAGGUCAAAACUUCUGUGGUGAUCACUACUGGGAUGGCACCUGUGAAUAGCCACUGCACUCCAGCCUGGGCCAUGUAGCAAGACUCU
rnacentral:SRP_RNA from 1 species